rnacentral:rRNA from 1 species
GACGAACGCUGGCGGCGUGCUUAACACAUGCAAGUCGAACGAUGACGCCCGAGCUUGCCUGGUCUGAUUAGUGGCGAACGGGUGAGUAACACGUGAGCAACCCGCCCUUCACUCUGGGAUAACCCUGGGAAAUCGGGGCUAAUAUCGGAUAUGAGCUUCUGACCCACGGGGGGCGUUGGAGAGUUGUUCGGUGGCGGAUAGGCAUGCGGGUUAUCGGGUUGUUUGUGAGGGAGUGGAAGACCAAGGCGUUGCCGGGUAGCCGGCCUGAGAGGGCGGCCGGGCACACUGGGACUGAGAGACGGCGCAGACGCCUACGGGAGGCAGCAGGCGGGAAUAUUGCACAAUGGGCGAGAGCCUGAUGCGGCGACGCCGCGUGAGGGAUGACGGCCUUCGAGUUGUAAACCUCUGUCAGAAGAGAAGAAGCGAAAGUGACGGUACCUGCAGAAGAAGCGCCGGCUAACUACGUG